UUAAAUUGAAGAGUUUGAUCAUGGCUCAGAUUGAACGCUGGCGGCAGGCCUAACACAUGCAAGUCGAACGGUAACAGGAAGCAGCUUGCUGCUUUGCUGACGAGUGGCGGACGGGUGAGUAAUGUCUGGGAAACUGCCUGAUGGAGGGGGAU
rnacentral:rRNA from 6 species